rnacentral:lncRNA from 1 species
AGCAAAGCCAGACCCAUGUGGGCCAGCAGUGUGGAACCCACGGCACCUGCCCUGGGGACUCUGCCCCAGCCUGGGGCUGGCCUCUGGGCUUUCCCGUAGCCCCAAAUCUGAUUGUCCCUAGGCCCCUGAAAAGGCCAGCAUCCACCGGCUGAUGGAGGCUUUCAUCCUCAGGCUGCAGACCCAGUUCCCCUCCACUGUCAGCACUGUGUACAGGACAAGUGAGAAGCUGGUGAAAGGCCCCCGGGACGGCCCUGCUGCCGGCGACUCCGGCCCCCGCUGCCUCCUCUGCAUGUGUGCCCUGGACGUCGACGCCGCUGGUCUGUGUUUCAUGCUCUUGGGGUGAUGGGGGGAGGGAGCCAGGGAGUGGGUGUGGGGGCUCAGCAGCCCCAGGCUCCCUCAGCCCCUCUCUGCUUGCAGACAGUGCCACGGCUUUUGGGGCUCAGACCUCCUCGCAUCUCUCCCAGAUGCAGUCACCCAUCCCCCUGACUGAGACCCGGACACCCCCGGGGCCCUGCUGUUCUCCAGGGGUGGGCUGGGCCCAGCGCUGCGGCCAGGGGGCCUGCAGGAGGGAGGACCCCCAAACCUGCAUUGAGGAGCAGCUGUGCUACAGCUGCCGCGUGAACAUGAAGGACUUGCCCUCACUGGACCCCCUGCCGCCGUACAUCCUGGCUGAGGCCCAGCUCCGCACACACAGGGCCUGGGGCUUGCAGGAGAUCCGGGACUGUCUGAUUGAGGACAGUGACGACGAGGCAGGCCAGAGCUGAGCGUGAGGACGUGCUGGCCGGGACAGCAGGCAGUGGCCACCUGGUCCACCACACUGGAGCCGGAAGGCAA